CAGAGGAUGGACUUUUUCACAUUAUGGAGAUAUAUUUUGGCCAGAAGUGACCGUUUAAAGGUAAAAAGCCUUAAUGAUGGAUUUUUUCUUACAAGCGUGCAUAUUUUCGCUUCACGACAUUAAUUGAUGGACUGAAGUCAUGUGGAUUAACGUGAUGUUUGGACUCUUUCUGACGGCACCCAUUCACUGCAGAGAAUACACUGGUGAGCAAGUGAUGCAAUGCUAAAUUUCUCCAAAUCCGUUGAAGAAACAAACUCAUCUACAUCUUGGAUGGCCUGAAAUGUGACGCCUAAAUCAUCCCAGGACAUGGAAAUUCCAGAUGCCUGCACAUGUAGUCAACACUUGCACACCAGAGUCGGAGGAGAAGAAAGAAGAGAAGAAAGAGGAGUCUGAAGAAUCCGAAGAUGACAUGGGAUUCGGACUCUUUGACUAAUCUGUCUCCUCGGGACCAAAAUAAAGUUUAUUACAAAAUGA